rnacentral:lncRNA from 1 species
UGAGGAGUGCCAGUUUUUCGUGCGAGCUAUCAAGAAUUAAAAGGAACAAGAGAUUUUUGCAUUGUGCAACGCCAAAAAAUCGUAGAAUUCUCCAUUUGGCCGCACAAGUGAAAUAUCAGUAAUCCGAGCAAGUUAUCUAUGCCGGUGUAAGAUGCACCAGCUGUCACAAGCAGGAGACCCUGCGCCACAUAUGUGAGCUCGAAGUACGGGCUUUGGUCCUUGUCGUAAAAGUAAUAGGUUCUCAUCAAGGAGUGUAUCGCGGGGAUCAUACCAAUGAAAACGAACAAAAACAGGGAGAACAUCGUGCGCAAAUCCGAGAAAUAGU